UACGAAGGGGGCUAGCGUUGCUCGGAAUUACUGGGCGUAAAGGGCGCGUAGGCGGCACUGUUAGUCAGGCGUGAAAGUCCUGGGCUCAACCUGGGAACUGCGCUUGAUACGGCAGAGCUAGAGGAUGGAAGAGGGUCGCGGAAUUCCCAGUGUAGAGGUGAAAUUCGUAGAUAUUGGGAAGAACACCGGUGGCGAAGGCGGCGAGCUGGUCCAUUACUGACGCUGAGGCGCGACAGCGUGGGGAGCAAACAGG
rnacentral:rRNA from 1 species